rnacentral:lncRNA from 1 species
AGCUGUGCAAAUAUCUAAUCUCUAUAGGUAUCCACUCAAGAUCAGCCUGGAACAACCCUCUUAAGAUUGAAUUUUUUUCUCUAAGAAACUUCAGCCUGCGAAUCUAAACGAAGUCUGGAUCACGAUCAACUCUUUGAUCUCUUUUUUUUAUCUUCUUCUUCUCUUGAUUUUUCCUCUUUGAUUUAUGUUGCUAUCAAGAAGAAACACCAGCAAAUAAGAGAUGCCCAAGGCCCUUGUGGGCGUGAAGAGAUGGGACGCCCAAGGUGGGGCAUGUGGGAUGCCG